rnacentral:lncRNA from 1 species
UAUUUAGGUUUUGGAUCAAACAAGUCGAUCGAUUGUUGUCGUUGAUUCGGCGAAUUUAUGGUUUGGUAGAUUUUUUCUAGUUUGGCAACUUUGUUCGUGGUUCUUGUGUCAGACUGACAGCUGGCUGAGCUGAGAGACAGGUUAUGGAAAGUGGGGACGUCGCGAGAGCGCCGGAGACUCCACUGCCGUAACAAUAAUGUGGGCAAAUUAAAAGCCACGAUUUAUCGGCGACAUCAAGAGCCGAUGUCUCGAUUUAAACAAAUAACUUAACCGAGAUGCAACAUCACUGAAAUCCCAUCGCCGAAGGUCCAGUGGGUGGGUUUAGGUUUCAUCCGAGCGAUGCCCAACUAUCCCGGAUGAACCUAUGGGGUUUUUUUUUCUUUAAGUUUUAAUGUUUUAACGUUUUUGCAAGUUUAAUUUUCUAACGUUUUGCAAGUUUUAAUCUAAGAAGAAGUUUAUGAUUGGAUCAGACUAUUUCAACAAAUUUUGUGAAUGAAGAUUGCUACUGUUUUCUUCUGCGUUUGCAAGUUAUUUCAAGCUUCAUUUCGGCGGAGCUUGCCUUGGUUGUUUGCACGUCGAAGCUUCCCUUUGUGCGGCGCGCAUGUGGAUGUGCCGCGCCUCUCCUUUUGUCAACACACCGGAUAAGGCCCGGUGAAGGACUGCGAGGUUGACCGGUGGACGUGCAGCCCGCCAGCUGCGUAACAGUUGGCCCGCUGCGCCGCCAUCGUCCAGCACGCCUGGCCUGAGCCGGCCUCAACGCAUCACCUGUACGGUAUUCCGGAACGCCUCAGGUAGGCCUGAUAGUCGGAGGUCCUCGAGUAAGUGAGGUGCCUACAGGUGUACGGACAGUGUUUUAAAUCUAGUGAUAUCCCAUGGUUGUUACGGAGUGACAAUUAACCUGACGGACCAAAGCGCGA